ensembl:lncRNA
GUCAAAGGGAGCUGGGCCAUGCCGUGUAUAGAAAGUGGCAGAAGCGUUCAGACUACACACUGCUUGUUUUACUGUAGGAAGAGCCAGUCCUCCUGCACUACCUCAGAAAGCUGAUAAUACUGGCAGCUGAACUUCAACAGAGUAUUUGAACCAAGCCCAGGGUCUCUUGGCUCAGGACAUGAAAUGGUGCCUCUGAAAGUAGAAGAAUGAGAUAAAGGAGAGGGAACAUGAUUUGGAAAAAACACUCCUCCAGCACUUCAAUGUUAUGAUUCUACACAUGACUUUUCUACAUUAAAAUUCUCCCCUACUCCUUGCUCCUACUCUAAAGGUGCCACCCUUUUCUUUGCCUGCCAGAAAGUAACUGCAGAAGUAAAUUUCAAAGAACUGAAAAAGAGUGAAAAAAAAAAGCAUCAUACAUAUUAAUAAGCCCGAAACAAUAUUCUACUAACAGUAUUCUACAAACAGACUACUAUUAUUCCUUUACAUCAAAAGAAAAUACGAAACAUGAGCCUGAGAAACUACAAAUGUGAAAGUGAAAAGUGCACAAAUGGUAUGUGACAGAAGAAAGUUUCUGAAAGAGCAAAAAGAAUAAAAAAGACACAAAGGUAGAAGCACAUCGCAAUGACCUGGGAGCCAACUCUGAGCCCUGCACAAUUUGAAGAAGCUGCAGCAGCCCAUGGAGUUACAUGGUUUGGCACUUUGGAAGUGGCACUCAGAGCAGCUGCCACAGCACUGAGGAUAGAUGCCUGCCCUUCUGUAGAGAACACACUUGCAACAGAGAUUAGCACUUUGAGCUGUCCUAUUAGUCAAUUUAUCUGCUCUUGUGCACAUUUUUUUCAACCUUUAUGAAUAAUACAACACCAAAUAUUUUUCUGAGGAAGAGUAUGCAGUACCUUUUCACUCCAUGUUUGGUGGUGGCAGAAAUAGGCCUGAUAAAUUAAAUACUUACCAUGAUGCUCAAUGGAGGAGGUUUCUGGUUGUUUGUGGAGUUUUUUGUUUGUUUGUUUGUUUGUUUUUAAUAAAAGUACUUUUAACAUAAAAAAAGAGGAUAUUUAGUCUGUGGAAAUCACUGGUGCUUAAAUCUUCAUGUCACCACAACUUAGCCAGAAGAAACACUCUGUUUCUUGAGAUUCCCUUCCAUAGACAUCUUUGAAUAGAGAAGGAUUACAUUCAGAAUUACGUUCUCUGGAAUGUGAGUCUCUUGCUUUGGUGUCACACCUAUGGCUUCCAUUCAGUCCUAGAGUCCUCCUUGAUGGGACACAGCCUGAAUUUCAGAGAAAUCACUGAUCUCUCAAAGAUAGAUGCCUCAGCAUUUAUCAAUUGGUUGAAUGUGGCAUGCUUCCAUAAUGUGGCUGACUAAAGAUGAAAAUGAGCACCUCUGAGGAUUUCCAAAAGCACAGACUCCUCUCAGUCAGACACGCAUCAGUUUUUAAUUUAGAAUUAAA